UACGGGGGGGGGCAAGCGUUGUUCGGAAUUACUGGGCGUAAAGGGCUCGUAGGCGGCCAACUAAGUCGGAUGUGAAAUCCCCAGGCUCAACUUGGGAACUGCAUCCGAUACUGGAUGGCUUGAAUUCGGGAGAGGGAUGCAGAAUUCCAGGUGUAGCGGUGAAAUGCGUAGAUAUCUGGAGGAAUACCGGUGGCGAAGGCGGCAUCCUGGACCGACAUUGACGCUGAUGAGCGAAAGCUAGGGGAGCAAACGGG
rnacentral:rRNA from 1 species